UAGAAGAGGAACUAUCCUCAAUAUAUCGCUUCUGUUAAUCCGAACAGGCCAAAGAAGAAGAAGCAAUCAUUGCUGGACAAGACACUUAUGUGAUAACACCUUGUAACUUCUCUCUUUUUGAUACAUUGACUUGGGUAUUGAAUAUCGAUAGUUCUAUUCAUAUUUGCAAUUCGUUGCAGGAUCUUUAGAUCAUUAAGAGAUUUGAAGAUGGUGAGAGAUUUUUGAAUGUUGGAGAUGGAAGAUCA
rnacentral:lncRNA from 1 species